GCUUCAAUUAUUAAGGAUUUUCGUCCAAUAAGUUUGGUUAGUAGUGUUUAUAAGAUUAUUUCGAAGGUUCUUGCCAACCAGCUUAGUCCAGUGUUGGAAAAUAUUAUAUCCAAGCCUCAGAAUGCUUUCAUUCGUGGGAGACAUAUUCUUGAUUCGGCGCUCAUAGCAAAUGAGAGCCUCAAUGCUAGAUUGCGGGAGGGAAGCCCAGGUAUUCUCUGCAAGCUGGACAUGGAGAAGGCUUAUGAUUAUAUGAAUUGAGAAUUCCUCUUGUACCUGCUUGAGAGGUGUGGCUUUGGAAAUAGGUGAAUUUCUUGGAUGAGGCAUUGUAUUUCAACUGCUUGAUUCUCAGUUUUAGUUAAUGGCACUCCUGCUGGUUUUUUUGAUAGCUCGAGGGGUUUGCGACAGGGAGAUCCGUUAUCUCCUCUUCUAUUUGUUAUCGUUAUGGAGGCAUUGAGUAGGAUGGUGCAGACUACUGUUGAUGGGGGUCUUUUAUCAGGUUUUAUGGUGGGAAAUGGCUCUGGUGGCCCAUUUAUCAUCUCACAUCUUCUUUUUGCAGAUGACACUCUGGUAUUCUGCUAAGCGGAUAGCAGUCAGGUCCAAACUCUAAGAGCAUUGUUACUUUGUUUCGAAGCAGUGUUAGGGCUUAAGGUGAACCUUAGCAAAUCUGAGAUGGUACCGGUGGGUGAGGUUUCUAAUAUCCGCAGUCUAGCAAGUCUUUUGGAUUGCAGGGUUUCCUUUUUUCCAAUGAAAUAUUUGGGCCUUCCGUUAGGAGCAUCUUUCAAGAGUAGAGCUAUUUGGGAUGGGGUGGUGGAGAAGAUAAAGAAAAGGCUGGCGGGAUGGAAAAUUGUGUAUUUAUCAAAAGGGGGGCAUCUUACUCUUAUCAAGAGCACACUCACUAACGUACCCACAUAUUUCUUAUCUCUUUUUCCUAUGCCUGCAGGGAUGGCGAAUAAGAUUGAGAAACUUUUUAGGGCAUUCUUAUGGGGAGGCCUAGGGGAGGAGAAGAAAUUCCACCUAGUUAGUUGGAAGACGGUAUGUGCUCCAAUUGUGAAUGGUGGGUUGGGUGUUUGCAACUUGAGAACCUUUAAUAAAGCACUAUUGGGGAAAUGCCUUUGGAGAUAUCAUCAGGAGGGGGGAGCAUUGUGGAAGGAAACUGUAGACGCGAGAUAUAGUAUUGCAUGGGGCAGAUGGUGUUCCAACGAAAUGAAAGGGGGGUAUGGAGUGAGGUUAUGGAAGUAUAUAAGGAAGGGGUGGAUAUGUUUUAAAAAUCAUAUUCGCUUUGUAGCCGGUGAGGGUAACCAAAUCCGUUUUUGGCGAGAAGUGUGGUGUGGAGAUUAGACUUUGGAAAGGGUUUUUCCGGCUUUAUAUCGUAUUGCAGCUAAUAGGGAGGUUUCAGUGGCUGAUGUUCAGUUAUUUUCUCAUGGUUUGCAUCAGUGGAAUAUUCUGCUUAAUAGGGAUUUUCAAAAUUGGGAACUAGAUAUGGUUACUGACUUUUUCAGCCUAUUACAUUCCUUGGAGACUACUAGGGCACAACAUGAUAGCUUGAAGUGGAGGUCUAAGGAUCAUAAGUUAUGUACUGUUAAGGUGUAUUAUAACCUUUUGAUAACACAGGACCAUACUCCAUUCCCUUGGAAGAACAUCUGGAGAUCUCAUGUACCUUCCAAAGUUGCUUUCUUUGUUUGAAAUGCCGCCCUUGAGAAGAUCUUGACCACCGACAAUUUGAGGAAGAGAGAAUGUGUUGUGAUGGAUUGGUGCUACAUGUGCAAAAAGAAUAGAGAAUCGGUGGAUCAUCUUUUACUACAUUGUGAGGUAACAAGUGUGUUGUGGGAUGAGAUCUUUCGGAGGGUUGGUGUCGCUUGGGUAAUGCCUUUGAGGGUAGUGGAUUUGAUGGGCUGUUGGAGGAAAUUGCAGGGUUGUCGUCAAGUGACAACAGUAUGGAAUAUGAUUCCGUUGUGUAUCAUGUGGUGCACUUGGAUGGAAAGGAAUGCGCCCUGUUUUGAAGACAAGGAACGCACAGUGGUGGAGCUGAAGAAUUUCUUUCUAAAUACCUUAUUGCUUUGGUUUUCUGCUAUUGUUUUAGUUGGGGAUAAUAUUCAUGACUUCUUGUCUUUAGUUCAUCGCUCUUAGAAUGUAUUUAGGUGUUCUAUUGUAUACUUCUUGUGUACAUAGCUUAGGCCUUUUUCAUUAAUAAAAUUUAUCUCUUACAUA